GGGGCUGUCACGGUUUCGACGUUUUGGCGAACGCUACUUCGUGAUUCAGGUCGAGAGCGGGCUAACUCUCGCAAAUCAAUGGCUCAAAAAAAGUAGAUGCGAACAACAUCGUACCUUUUGCUCGUAAGCAAGCUGCUGUUGCAGUUGCCUAAAAACCUCUAACUGGUUCGAGCGUCUGUGAUUUGACUCCGUUAAGGAUUACAGACCAACCCCCAACGGACGCCCUAGUCCACCGCCUCUGGUCAGUGACUAGUUAAGACUUAACCAGAGCAUCCCAUCGCCUGGGAUAAAAGGUGAUUCCCGCUUCGAGGAUCAGAGAAGCUAAACCUGUGAAUGAACGAAGUAUUAAUACCCAGAGCGGACACGGGUUCGACUCCCGUCAGCUCCAUUA
rnacentral:tmRNA from 1 species